UGCUCAGGGAUGGUACAUGGGCUACUUCCCUCUCUGUGCCCUCCCAGAUGCCCUCCCAGGUGCCCUUCCAGGUGCCCUCCCUGAUGCCCUCCCAGGUGUCCUCCCAGAUGCCCUCCCAGGUGCCCUUCCAGAUGCCCUCCCAGGUCCUCCCAGGUGCCCUCCCAGAUGCUCUCUCAGGUGCCCUCCCUGAUUCCCUCCCUGAUGCCCUCCCAGGUGCCCUCCCAGGUGCCCAGGCGGCACGGCCCCACGGUUACCUUCAUGUAGGCGUUGAGGGCAGGAAUCCGCAUCUC